UCCAAUUUAUAUAGUAAUUGUUCGAAACCAUUGAAACGGACAAGGAUUUAUGACACUGCUGAAUUAGCUCUCAGAGGGGUCUAGGCCAAAAAACUCUUGACUGUCCAAGUGUCAUAAACCACUCGACGUCCGCCUAGUGCCACAUAAGAAUUUGGCAGAAACUAUUGGUCGACGUUCUGGAUAGUUCAAUUGGGAAAGCAAGCAGGACGAUGAUGGUUCGAUCUAUGAAUGCUAAUCCAUUUUUCCGUAUUUCCCGAGUUUUCUACUAUCCGAGCAUCGUGACUGAUGUUGAGGUAUCCAAUGACCUAUGACCGUCAGAUGUAUAUUCAUAGCUUUCAUCUGUUCAUACACGGGGAACGUCACCAGGAAUGUCUAAUGCGCAAAAUUUACUUUAAAUCCAUACAGUCGCGUGCAAGGGGUCGAUGACAAAGCAACAACAGUUUUCUUAGAGUCUAAUUUAGAAGGAUUUUCCAGAUUAGAAGCCACGAAGUAGGAAGCGAGGAAUCGGGAAGAUGAUCAAUUCUGACUUAUCUUUUAAAAAUCAAUCGUGUAACGUAUGUAAAGCAGAAUUGAUUUAUGAAUAUUAUAAUUCAACAUUUUAAACGUGCUAGACCUGUCAAGGGCAAUAUGUUCGACUAAUUUUUUGUUCAGUGUGUAAACACGCGAAUAUUGCGACUUUUAUUGAAAUGAGAAUAAUAUACAAAAUAAAGUCAUAUCGAGUCGAGAAAAAUAGAUAAUAUGAAAAUAAUUUAUGGUUUUAAUUAAUGUUUUCAAGUCUCGUACAAUUUGUCCAGCUGUACAUUCUGUAAAUAAUAUAACCAAGUGCCAUAUUGUCCUCCACUUUUUCCUGCUUAUUAUGGGUAUUCUAUGUUAUUAUGUGGUGAAUACACAAUGCAGCGAUAUUAUGUUUCGUUUUUAAAAAUUGAUAACCUAUGCUCUUGAAUAUUGCAAUGAAUGUUCAAGUUGGUUUCAAAUAACGAGCAUUGUUGCAAAUGACGAGCAUAUUCCUAUGUUCAUAUUCUUCAUAUGUUGCACACACGUUACACGAUUAAAGUAAAAGUAUCUUUCAAAUUAGAUAAAGUUUUACGACACAGGUAUAGUUUAGUACCUUCCUAUAGAAAGUAAACGAUAUCUGAUUUAUAGCAGUAUUAAAUCUCAUACACCAUCGUGUAUGAGAUUUAAUACUGCUAUAAAUCAGAUAUCUGUGACUUUUAAAACUUGAAAAAAAAGAUAAAAGAGGAAAAACGAGAAUCAGUAUAUUUGCUAUUUCGAAUAAACCAAGCUUUUUCCGACGUAAUCAUUGUAUAGGUGAAAAGAACUAAAAUGUUUUGAUAGAUAAAAGUAUCUGUAAUCUGUAACUAUGUGUCUAGAAUUACAGAACACUACGACAAAACGUUGCA
rnacentral:lncRNA from 1 species